GACUCUAUCCGAGGCGAGAUCUGUAGGUGGUACUCUACCAGCGAGUACUGGAAGAGCUGCUUCUUCCACGAGAUUGACUCAUCAGGAGGCCAACACGAUGGCUGAGCGCGACCUGGGUUCCACCUUCCUGUUGCCCCAUGUGCACCUUUAUAAGCCGGACCUUACUAGCGACGUAUCCGAAUUCGAUUCCCUGUGAAGUAAAACCAGUCAAAAGAAGCUAUGAAGAAAGUAAUA